rnacentral:rRNA from 1 species
AUGAACGCUGGCGGCGUGCCUAAUCCAUGCAAGUCGAGCGAACGGACGAGAAGCUUGCUUCUCUGAUGUUAGCGGCGGACGGGUGAGUAACACGUGGAUAACCUACCUAUAAGACUGGGAUAACUUCGGGAAACCGUAGCUAAUACCGGAUAAUAUUUUGAACCGCAUGGUUCAAAAGUGAAAGACGGUCUUGCUGUCACUUAUAGAUGGAUCCGCGCUGCAUUAGCUAGUUGGUAAGGUAACGGCUUACCAAGGCAACGAUGCAUAGCCGACCUGAGAGGGUGAUCGGCCACACUGGAACUGAGACACGGUCCAGACUCCUACGGGAGGAAGCAGUAGGGAAUCUUCCGCAAUGGGCGAAAGCCUGACGGAGCAACGCCGCGUGAGUGAUGAAGGUCUUCGGAUCGUAAAACUCUGUUAUUAGGGAAGAACAUAUGUGUAAGUAACUGUGCACAUCUUGACGGUACCUAAUCAGAAAGCCACGGCUAACUACGUG